UACUUUCAGUUAAGUGCACAUCAUCGGU
rnacentral:sRNA from 1 species